CCGUGCUAGAUGGGGAGUUGGCGGUGCCCUGCACCCGCAAUCCGCCAUAGCGGGAUCGAACUCCCCCUCGAGGUCCUGUCCUGCGGGACUGGCGGCGCCACGGAGCGUUGAUGGAAGGGUCCCGCGCGGCGGGGAACGGCGAACUCGGUCAGGACCGGAAGGUAGCAGCCGUAAGUCGGACUCCCCGGGUGCGUGGGGUUGCCUGCCCGGAGCCACCGAGCGUCGACAAGCCGUAUGCCAGCGGUCGACAGGGGGUGCACGG
rnacentral:SRP_RNA from 1 species